rnacentral:rRNA from 1 species
GACGUAGGGGGCCAGCGUUGUUCGGAAUUACUGGGUGUAAAGGGUUCGUAGGCGGUGCGGCAAGUUGGGAGUGAAAUCUCUGGGCUUAACCCAGAGGCUGCUUCCAAAGCUGCUGUGCUUGAGUGUGGGAGAGGCGCGUGGAAUUGCAGGUGUAGCGGUGAAAUGCGUAGAUAUCUGCAGGAACACCCGUGGCGAAAGCGGCGCGCUGGACCACUACUGACGCUGAGGAACGAAAGCUAGGGGAGCAAACAGG